UGCUAAUACCGGAUAACAACAGAUGAUGCCUAUCAACUGUUUAAAAGAUGGUUCUGCUAUCACUCUUGGAUGGACCUGCGGUGCAUUAGCUAGUUGGUAGGGUAACGGCCUACCAAGGCGAUGAUGCAUAGCCGAGUUGAGGGACUGAUCGGCCACAUUGGGACUGAGACACGGCCCAAACUCCUACGGGAGGCAGCAGCA
rnacentral:rRNA from 1 species